AUGGCCACAUUAUGUUGAAACACUACUUCCUGUCUAAUCACCAAAGUUAAGCAGUGUCAAGUCUGGUCAGUACCUAGAUGGGUGACCACUUGGGAAUAACAGAUGCUGUAAG